GGGCUAUAGCUCAUUGGUAGAGCAUCUGCCUUGCAUGCAAAAGGUCCCAGGUUCAAUCCUGGGCAUCUCCA